CGUGACGACGAGGCACUACGGUGCUGAAGCAACAAAUGCCCUGCUUCCAGGAAAAGCCUCUAAGCAUCAGGUAACACGAAAUCGUACCCCAAACCGACACAGGUGGUCAGGUAGAGAAUACCAAGGCGCUUGAGAGAACUCGGGUGAAGGAACUAGGCAAAAUGGUGCCGUAACUUCGGGAGAAGGCACGCUGACACGUAGGUGAAGUGAUUUACUCAUGGAGCUGAAGUCAGUCGAAGAUACCAGCUGGCUGCAACUGUUUAUUAAAAACACAGCACUGUGCAAACACGAAAGUGGACGUAUACGGUGUGACGCCUGCCCGGUGCCGGAAGGUUAAUUGAUGGGGUCAGCGCAAGCGAAGCUCCUGAUCGAAGCCCCGGUAAACGGCGGCCGUAACUAUAACGGUCCUAAGGUAGCGAAAUUCCUUGUCGGGUAAGUUCCGACCUGCACGAAUGGCGUAAUGAUGGCCAGGCUGUCUCCACCCGAGACUCAGUGAAAUUGAACUCGCUGUGAAGAUGCAGUGUACCCGCGGCAAGACGGAAAGACCCCGUGAACCUUUACUAUAGCUUGACACUGAACAUUGAGCCUUGAUGUGUAGGAUAGGUGGGAGGCUUUGAAGUGUGGACGCCAGUCUGCAUGGAGCCGACCUUGAAAUACCACCCUUUAAUGUUUGAUGUUCUAACGUGGACCCGUAAUCCGGGUUGCGGACAGUGUCUGGUGGGUAGUUUGACUGGGGCGGUCUCCUCCUAAAGAGUAACGGAGGAGCACGAAGGUUGGCUAAUCCUGGUCGGACAUCAGGAGGUUAGUGCAAUGGCAUAAGCCAGCUUGACUGCGAGCGUGACGGCGCGAGCAGGUGCGAAAGCAGGUCAUAGUGAUCCGGUGGUUCUGAAUGGAAGGGCCAUCGCUCAACGGAUAAAAGGUACUCCGGGGAUAACAGGCUGAUACCGCCCAAGAGUUCAUAUCGACGGCGGUGUUUGGCACCUCGAUGUCGGCUCAUCACAUCCUGGGGCUGAAGUAGGUCCCAAGGGUAUGGCUGUUCGCCAUUUAAAGUGGUACGCGAGCUGGGUUUAGAACGUCGUGAGACAGUUCGGUCCCUAUCUGCCGUGGGCGCUGGAGAACUGAGGGGGGCUGCUCCUAGUACGAGAGGACCGGAGUGGACGCAUCACUGGUGUUCGGGUUGUCAUGCCAAUGGCACUGCCCGGUAGCUAAAUGCGGAAGAGAUAAGUGCUGAAAGCAUCUAAGCACGAAACUUGCCCCGAGAUGAGUUCUCCCUGAGACUUAGAGUCUCCUGAAGGAACGUUGAAGACGACGACGUUGAUAGGCCGGGUGUGUAAGCGCAGCGAUGCGUUGAGCUAACCGGUACUAAUGAACCGUGAGGCUUAACCUUACA
rnacentral:rRNA from 1 species